rnacentral:tRNA from 2 species
UAUUAAAUGUUAUUUUGGCAGAUUAGUGUAAUGAAUUUAGAAUUCAUAAAAGUAAAUAUAUUUACAAAUAAUAC